rnacentral:rRNA from 1 species
UACGGAGGGUGCGAGCGUUGUCCGGAAUCAUUGGGCGUAAAGGGCGCGUAGGUGGCCCGGUCAGUCUUUGGUGAAAGCGCGGGGCUCAACCCUGCGUCGGCCAGGGAUACUGCCGCGGCUCGAGCACUGUAGAGGCAGGCGGAAUUCCGGGUGUAGCGGUGGAAUGCGUAGAGAUCCGGAAGAACACCGGUGGCGAAGGCGGCUUCCUGGACCGACACUGACGCUGAGGCGCGAAAGCUAGGGGAGCAAACGGG